rnacentral:rRNA from 1 species
AGAGUUUGAUCAUGGCUCAGAACGAACGCUGGCGGCGCGUCUUAAACAUGCAAGUCGAACGAUCUGUAGCAAUACAGGGAGUGGCGGACGGGUGAGGAACACGUAGGAAUCUACCUCGAAGAGCGGGACAACUUUGGGAAACCGGGGCUAAUACCGCAUAGUACAGAGAUGUUAAAGGGCUAGCAAUAGUCGCUUCGAGAUGAGCCUGCGGUCUAUCAGCUUGUUGGUGAGGUAAUGGCUCACCAAGGCUACGACGGAUAGCCGGUCUGAGAGGAUGAUCGGCCACACUGGCACUGAGACACGGGCCAGACUCCUACGGGAGGCAGCAGUUAAGAAUCUUGCGCAAUGGGGGAAACCCUGACGCAGCGACGCCGCGUGAAGGAUGAAGGCUUUCGGGUUGUAAACUUCGGUAGACUGGGAAGAAGAAAUACGUUCGUUGAGGGCGUAUAGUGACGGUACCAGUCUGAAGCCCCGGCUAAUUACGUG